CAAAAUCGAAACUGCCAUCAAACCGUCUAAGGUCGGUUACUGACUGUUUGGAUUUCGGUUGGAGUCGGUUGAUUGUUGUCUGUUUCGGGUGACGCUGUCAUGAGAGAGAGACAAUGGUGGCUAGCUUCCAUUGGAAAGAGAAGACUAUAUAGCAGUGGCUGCUUGUCGAGGAGAUCUGCAGAUGAGCUGGGAGGCGAUGAUCCAAAGAGAGACAAAGAAGACGAAGAGAGAAAGAGAAGAGAAAAAAAGCGACUAAACAAAUGACCAGACUAAUAGCGAUUUGGUUUGAUUUAUUCUCGAAAUUGAAAAUUGAACAAAAACAUGAACCGGUUAGGUUGUCGAUUUGAUGGUUUAAAUUUCCAACCUUACACAUCGGUGCCAAGACUCUUACCAUGCUCCUUUAU
rnacentral:lncRNA from 1 species